AAAGGGUUUGCAAAUGAAAGAAAUGAAGGGUCUUAUGCUGCAGUUAAUAGAGUAGUUCCCUCUUCUCCAGACCCCUUGCACAACAGGUCCUGGAGGAGAAACCACACAUGAGCCUUCUGUUGCCUCCAUUGAUAGUCUCUCAUCUCCUAGGUUCAGUUGAGGAAAUUUUGCUUCCCUCUCCUAGGUUGCCUCCACUCAAACUUUAAACUCAAGAAUAGGUAAGGGAAGCUAAUUCUGUAACUCAUUUUGAUGUAGAUUGCAAUUGCGAG